GUGCCAGCCGCCGCGGUAAUACCGGCAGCCCGAGUGAUGGCCGAUCUUAUUGGGCCUAAAGCGUCCGUAGCUGGCUGCGCAAGUCCGUCGGGAAAUCCACUCGCUUAACGAGUGGGCGUCCGGCGAAAACUGUGCGGCUUGGGACCGGAAGAUCCAAGGGGUACGUCCGGGGUAGGAGCGAAAUCCCGUAAUCCUGGACGGACCACCGAUGGCGAAAGCACCUGGGAAGGACGGAUCCGACAGUGAGGGACGAAAGCCAGGGUCGCCAACCGGAUUAGAAACCCGUGUAGUCC
rnacentral:rRNA from 1 species